UACGUAGGUGGCAAGCGUUGUCCGGAUUUACUGGGCGUAAAGAGCGCGCAGGCGGUCGUUCAAGUCGAGUGUGAAAGCCCCCGGCUCAACUGGGGAGGGUCACUCGAUACUGAUCGACUCGAAGGCAGAAGAGGGAAGCGGAAUUCCCGGUGUAGUGGUGAAAUGCGUAGAUAUCGGGAGGAACACCAGUGGCGAAGGCGGCUACCUGGCCCACUCGUUGACGCUGAGGCGCGAAAGCUAGGGGAGCAAACGGGG
rnacentral:rRNA from 1 species